rnacentral:lncRNA from 1 species
UUUUGAUCAUUGAGAAGCUUAAUAUUUCCUUAUGAACACAAUGUCAUUAAAACGUUUAGCUGACUUUACAGAGUUAUCUCCCUGUAGUGUUAGGUACCACCUUAAGUCAUUGACACAGACUAAUUGUUUGAAACAUGUCAAUGACAUGCCAAAAAUGGAAACUAUCAAUUUGAAAAGAAGAUAAUUUUGGACAGUUCAUGAUUUCUGUGGGCAAAAAAUAACAUUCUGUUUAUAUUUACACAAUCACACAUAGGCAAUUAAUGAAAGCAUUAAUUAUAAGUGCUAAGUGCUCAAUAACUUGUUUUGUAAACUUUCCCGGUGAAUAUAUAACGUAUAUAUGCAGUGUAUAGGUUUAUUUUUGAUUAUUGAAAAAAAGAGUAAAUUGAAAAAUUGUAAACGAAUUUUUUCACAAUUUUUGAGAAAAAAAAAUAACACAGUAUUAGGUUAAUCUUAAGAGUUUGGAUUAAACAUGUAUUUAAACAAUGUGUUUAGCUUUGAUAUGAAAACGAGCAAAAAAUCAAACAUCUAACACACAAUUAUCUAUCUUCAAUUACUUAUGUGGCAUUUAUUCAAUUGUAAUUAUCAUUCCAAAGUUCAGAGAUCAGUUGUAAAUUGUUUUUAAUGUCGUAAGGGACCCAUGAAAACUCUUUGAAAUCAUGUGCAAUUUUGUGAUAUGUAUAUGUAAGAGCCUUAUCAUGUUUGGUACAUAUAAUGUACAUUUGUUUUCAUCAUUUCACAUUCAGACAUUGUAAUUACCUCCCCCUUAUUUAGACAGUAAAUUACCUCCCUUUCAUGUACUCUUUUUUUAUUCAAACAACAAACAUCAGUCUAUCCAAAAGUUAUUUAUAAUUUAAAUACACAUCAAAAUUAUAAUGUUUUUAUCAGCUUUUACAUGUUACAAGUUUGCAUUAUAAUUUAGAAUAACUAUUUUGUAUUUGAUAUUUGCUAAUAAGAAUAUGAAAGUAUGUUUUAACAUAAUUUCCAUAUGUUUUUUUGGCUGUCAUAUUUAAAAUAUGAUAAAUGUUUCAGUUAUUUUGAUAUUUGAUGACGACUUAAAAUAUUCAAUGCUUCAUUUCUUUACCAUGUCCAGUAUGUCCUAGAUUUUGCAGUUUAUUCUCUCAUGAACGUUUUCAAUAAAGGAUGCUGUUAAGAGUGUACCCAUUGAAUAGAGAAUCCGAGUCCGUUCGCCCUGAUUCAUGUUCGCCCUAGUACCUGUUUGCCCUGAUACCUGCUCGCCCCAGGGUCCAUUCACCCUGAUUUUUAUUUUUUUCUAAUUGUUGUCUAGUCGCAUUAUUUUAAGUAAUUGAAAAAAAUAUGUUAAAGUUUGUUGAAAAAUUGACAGAAUGUUUAUAUUGCUGCAAUCAAUUUAGUAUUUUCCCUUCGAUUUGCAGAGUAGAAUACGAAAAUACAAUGUAUUUAUCUUUAUUGAUAUUUGUUAACAAAAUAAUUGUAUUCAGCCAACAUAAUUGCAUUCAGUCAAUCACGAAUGUAUGCAGUAUGACUAGUCUUAGAGUAUAAAUAAAUGAACUUGGACCGUUUCAUAAUUUACAGUUGGUACAUCAUUGUUUUUAUUAAUUUCAAGCUGAAAAUUUUAUCAAAACAAAACGUUUGUUUUAAUUAUUAAUCCAUCAAAAGACAAGUAUCACAAUAAUCAGUGAUCCAAAUUAUUUUGUCAUUGAACAAUUAAUGAUGAUCCUAAACAAGCCAUAAAUUUUUAAAUAUUUCAAUGUUUUCAUAAAUUUCAAGAAUAUAUAUACCAUAGAAAUAUCGGAAUAAGUUUAUUCAAUUUCAAUGCCCUGAAUAUUAAUAUUUUUAUAGUAGGGCGAAUGGACUCUACGAGUGAAUGAACUCAGCGUGAACGGACCUAGGGCGAACAUGUUAUUAGGGUGAACGGUCACUAUACCUUGAAUAGACAGCACAAUUGUAUGUCAUAGAUUGUACAUCUACUGCUAAAUGUUGGUUAAAACUGAUUCAAUUAUGUGAAAGGUUUCACUGCAGAUUUUUGUUUUUUCUUGAAUAUAUAUUGGUAACAACUUAGAUAAUAUUAGACAUGUCUUUGUAAGGGUCUAUUUUCUACAAUACUGUUAAUUUAAAAAUUCUGUAAAUUUAGAAAUUAUUAUGUGCAUUUACUAUUGCAAUUUUGUCAUUUUAGAGUUAAAUGCAAUUUUAGUUUUUGCAUUGUUGAUAAAAAUCCUCUUUGAAAAUGCGUGUUUAAAUUAUUGUGAUUUUAACCCUAUCGCAUUUACAGUAUUAAAAAGGACUUGACCAAUUGACAAAUUAGGACUAUGCUAAUGUUUGUGACACAUUAGUGAUCUAAAGCUCCAUGAACAUAGAACAGUUGCUGUACAAUGUUUUAUUUUGUUAUUUUUUUCUAAUUUUGUAGAAAGUUAGAGGGAUAGUGCAAUGUCAUCUUUUCAUUUGCCUCAAUCAGGGUAGACAACUCAUGUUUAUUGUGCAAAGCACAAAUUAUCUUGAACAAAAUAUCUGUCAUCUGUCCAACAAGUGUAAUGAUGUUAAGAGACUAAAAUCUUUCCAAUAUUCAACAUUAUUGAAAAAGAAAAAAAUGUCAGCCAUGUAGUUGUGAAGAAAAAGUAAAGAACUGAAGAAGGCCAAUGGCCAAAAUGUCUUAAAAAUUGGUUUAUUUCUACAAUAAUGUAAAAGUAUGUUCCCUAUUGUAUUUUUAAAAGUAGGAUUAUUCCACAUGGUAAAACAUUUGUCAUUAAGUUCUUAUAUAUAUAUAUAUUGAACUAUGUCCACUUUGAAUAAAACCAAAUAUGAGAUACAGUGAAACAAACAGAACCACUUUGGGACUUAAGAUUUUGUUCGGUUUUGGCCGAUUUUCGGUGUAAUCAGGUUCACAAUGCAUACAAUUUGAUAUGACAGUGCUUUAGAAAAUAUUUGGUUUAUACAGGUUUUCGGUUUAAGCAGGAUUCAGUUUAGCCAGGUUUCACUGUAUAUGAUUGAGAUAAAAGAAUGGUCUAUCUAGCCCUAUAAUUAUAAUACAAUAUUUCGUUAUUCUACAAAUUAUUUUCAGAGCCUAUUUUUCCUGGGAUUGGUUCCAUGAACCUUUUUCAUACUAAAGAAAUAAUGAGAAUAUAUCUCAAAUAAAAUAACUUAUAUCUACCUUCAUAUACAUACUAAUUUUUGAAAAUGAAUUUUUGAUAAAUGGUCUACACUAGAAAUGGCUUAAUGCUAAAAAAAGUAUCGUUGAAAAUGAUUUUGUUUACAAUAUUUACCCAUUCCAUUUGUAUUGUUGAUAUUUAAGAAAAGAAUUUAAAUGACAAAUCUGAGUUUUUUAAUUUCCCAUGCUUUUAAAGACCCUAUGAGCAAAGCCCAUACCGCCUAGUCAAGAAUGGCAUUUUAUUUUUUACAAGUUGUUAUUGGCAGUCUGUAUUGUUGAUUUAAAAAGCAGAUGUUAAUGAAGUGUUAAACAUUUUGUAAUAUUGACAUCAUGAUUGAACAGAGACAGAUGUUUUGUUCAGGAUAAAAAUUACAUUUCAUUUGUUGACAUUUUAAGAAUCAUUAUAUUAUAGAUUGUUUUUACAAAUUUUUAUUCAGUUUUAUAUUGUGUGACAUAUUUUUUAGCAGAUUUGAGCAAACUUAUAGAUCAGUUUGUCUGUGGAGUGUCUUAUAUAGAAAGCUUUAUUUUUUUGUGUUAUUUUAGAAACC